rnacentral:rRNA from 1 species
UACGGAGGGAGCUAGCGUUGUUCGGAAUUACUGGGCGUAAAGCGCACGUAGGCGGCUUUUUAAGUCAGGGGUGAAAUCCCGGGGCUCAACCCCGGAACUGCCCUUGAAACUGGAGAGCUAGAAUCUUGGAGAGGCGAGUGGAAUUCCGAGUGUAGAGGUGAAAUUCGUAGAUAUUCGGAAGAACACCAGUGGCGAAGGCGACUCGCUGGACAAGUAUUGACGCUGAGGCACGAAAGCGUGGGGAUCAAACAGG